AACUAACAUGACUGCCCUCCAGAAGCUUCCCAAAGCAGCUGAAAGAGUCAGAUGAAGAUAUUUCCACCAAAGCAAUGGACAGAAGAUAGCGACCCCAAUGGUUGAAUUUGCAAAAGCUGGAAGAAGCUUAUGAAGAAGGCAACCCUAUAGGAAAUAUAUUCCUCCAGCUGAAGUCACUGCUCGUGCUUUAAGAUACACUGUCCCUGUCACAGUCUUGGAUCAGUCAUCAUUUUCAAGGAAAAGGAUAUACUUCAGGAACCAGUAUCUGACAAAAUGAGGAGUCUUGCUGUCCUGCUCACUGAAUUCUGCAACUCAUCCCUGAAACCAUGCCUCAUUUCAGCUUCAUGAGAAGUUCACAGUACAAAGGCAAGCACCACAUUCAGCUGAU